rnacentral:rRNA from 1 species
UACAGAGGUCUCAAGCGUUGUUCGGAUUCAUUGGGCGUAAAGGGUGCGUAGGCGGCGCGGUAAGUCGGGUGUGAAAUCUCGGAGCUUAACUCCGAAACUGCAUUCGAUACUGCCGUGCUUGAGGACUGGAGAGGAGACUGGAAUUUACGGUGUAGCGGUGAAAUGCGUAGAUAUCGUAAGGAAGACCAAUGGCGAAGGCAGCUCUCUGGGACGGUACUGACGCUGAGACGCGAAAGCGUGGGGAGCGAACAGG